GAUGAACGCUGGCGGCGUGCCUAACACAUGCAAGUCGAGCGAUUUACUUCGGUAAAGAGCGGCGGACGGGUGAGUAACGCGUGGGUAACCUGCCUCAUACACAUGGAUAACAUACCGAAAGGUAUGCUAAUACAAGAUGAUAUAAGAGAUUCGCAUGGAUUUCUUAUCAAAGCUCCGGCGGUAUGAGAUGGGCCCGCGUCUGAUUAGCUAGUUGGUAAGGUAACGGCUUACCAAGGCGACGAUCAGUAGCCGACCUGAGAGGGUGAUCGGCCACAUUGGAACUGAGACACGGUCCAAACUCCUACGGGAGGCAGCAGUGGGGAAUAUUGCACAAUGGGCGAAAGCUUGAUGCAGCAACGCCGCGUGAGCGAUGAAGGCCUUCGGGUCGUAAAGCUCUGUCCUCAAGGAAGAUAAUGACGGUACUUGAGGAGGAAGCCCCGGCUAACUACGUGCCAGCCGCCGCUGUAAAAC
rnacentral:rRNA from 1 species